AUCCCUGAACUCUGGCCUUGCUAGCUAGGGGUGAUGGGAGUUGUAGUUCAACAACAUCUGGGGACCCACAGGUUGAGAAAGCAAGGACAGGCGACCUUGCAUCCGCCAAAUGUUGGAUUCCAACUCCCAUCAGCCCCAGCCAGCAAGGCCAAGAGUCAGGGAU